UAGUUGUAUUGCUAUAUGUUUAUUCUAAGUUCUGUAUAUUCCCACCAAGUUAAAGCUGUCUGGGUUACAUGCACAAGGCUGGACGUUGUUUUUCCCAGCUGCAUGGGAACCAGUCUGAUUCCCUGCUUUGGAUCCCUUAUCCCUUUAUACAAAACUCAUGUGUUGGCUCUGCCUGGCAGAGCUUUCCGUUUCAAACUUGCUUCAUUAUUGAUUGUCCUGUGAGCUCUCUGAGUUGUGCACAAUUCAUGAAUAAAUCUGAUUGAGUGAUUUUACCUGAACAGUGCUUGGAAAUAGUUUUUUUCCACGACAGUUUGGUGCCGUGACCCGGAUCCCUCGACUGGACAUCUGAGGACGUCGACGAACAGCGUUUCGAAAACCUGGACUAAAUUCCAGCCUCAAAGCUCGAUUUAAGAGUGGAGGGCUGUUGGUCGGCUCCACGGCUCCAGUCCUGGGAUCAACGAACUCAAAACCACUGUUAUCAGGUGGGAUACUCACUCAGGCUAACAAAUUAAUUUUACAAAUUCUAAAGGAUCCGAUAAACCUUUCACCCUGGGGAAUAGAGAUUGACGGUGUUAACAGGAAACGUUGGGUUAAAGUCCCACGGGGAAAAUAAAAAGUAAAAUAAAAUACAUUAAAAAAAUAUAAAAUAAAAUGAAAUAAUAAAAAAAGAGAAAACAACAGAUGGGAAAGAGUCUCUCUGGAAUUGUUUGAGUUUCAGUCUCAAACGGAAGAAAAAAGGGAACCACGGGUUUCUAGGCUGAGGGUCCUAGUGAAAGACCUUAUCGGUGAAUAAGGCAGGUAUUUUCUUAAGUUUUGGUUUUCUAAAUUAGGGGAACUAAACCUUUAGAGAAUCCUAAAGACCUUUAUCGGAAAUAAAGGCCCCUCUUAAAGGAGUAAGAGGCAGAGCUACCACAAAGCUGAUUUGUUGGAUUCUGCGAAGACGUUUGCAGUCUAAAGAGGAUAUCCCACCCAAUUCAAGAAGAAUGGGUCUACGUGGUUCCAGAACGCAAUCUCCUCCUCAGGGUGAAUUGUUUGACUAUAUGAUAACAAAAUAUGGAGAAAAAAAUGUGUAUGGAGUGCAUGAAUGGAUAAAAUGUGUUUUUUUCCCUGCGGGUGGUUCAUUGAAACUCUCUGUUUUGAAAAAAGUACAAAGAGAAAUAGAAAAUAGAGAACGUACUUUAAGAGACAAAAAAAACAGAUAGAGACUAGGAGUCUUGUUGAUCUUGAAAAACAUAAAGAGAGUUUGGAAUGCUGGAUGAAAGAACAAGACUGUAGGGAAAGGAGGAAAAAUGCUAAACAAAUGGCUGGAUGUGAGGAUGAUUCUGGGAAAAUAGCGGGGCGACAUGACAAUGCUUCUAUUUCUAUGAUUAAAUCUGAAAAUGUUUCUGCUUCUGUGACUGCUUCUAAAACAAAGGGAGUUAAACCCCCACCUUACAAUUCUUCUUCUUCUCUUUCCACACAUCUGUACCCGGACUUGAGUGCUCUCUCUGUGUUGGAUCUGGAUCUCGACGCCUACCCGGUUCCACGACCACAACAAGCGUCCAGAUGUCACAAAGCAGUCUGCUCAGGUUGUGAUGUGGCGACGCUUGUUUCCUCCUGUCAUCCUGGGGAGAGCGGUGUGGGAGGCACGUCAGUGGGACUUCGAGGCUGGCUCCGGUUAGCCCUCCAGGGAACAGCUUGAUUAAUUGAGCUGGCAGAUUUGUGACAAGGCUGGAAGUUAUAUGUGUAUACCUGGAAGUGUGUCAGAGUCUUUGCUGGUGUAGCAAAGUUAUCUUCUGACUCUGCAGGGACAAAGAAUGCCCUGAAUGCCUGGCGUCUCCUGCAGUGUCAAAUAACCAAAGGACAGGUCGAGUGGUGCAACGCCAGAGGAAGAAGAGCAAGUUGAAUGAGAGCAAUACAGUGAGAUCUAAAUGCUCAUCUGUUGGAAAGGCUACCUGUGGGAUGAGGUAUGGAUCCAGGCGCCCGAUUGGUCCAUAGAUAACGCCAUCUGGCCAAUCUUCAGUCAGCGAGGAUGAAGCCAAGAGCCCAACAGGGCCAGAGAGCCAUUCCAGUGGUGGAGUGGUGGGCAGAUGGGAGCCAGCAGAGUUCAUCUUCCUGCUGUAGUCCAGGUGGAGGUCCUGGCAAACUGCUUCAUGACACCCUGAGCACACAGACACAAGUUUGUCUAUGUAUGUUUAAAAACAUCUUGUUCAGUAGUUUCACAAUAUUUUCUCAACAAUUAAGUUCAAACUGUCCUGGAAAUCUAACAGAAUCACUUAAAAUUACCUUAGAGCCCAGCUGGAUUCCCAUGGGCCCAAACAUUCUCUGCGAUGAAAGACGCCUGGAAAGAACCAGCAUGAAGCAAAAUGUCUGCAAUCAAUUUCUUGUCUGUUUUGAAAUCGUCAACAGGUGUAACUAAACCAGAGAUGCAUCAUUGGGGAAAAAUGAAGAGCGAAAAUCAUCUCAGCUGUUGAAAGAUAAAAACCACUGCUCUCAGUGGGAGUGCUCCCUGUGGCCUCAGAAACCCAAUUACUGAGCUGUACGGGAGCAUGAUGGGCAGCCGGGAAGUUAAUUUGUUUACAUUUGAAUUUGCAAUGCGAUUCCUGCUUGAGAGGUGUUUCUGUGUUCAAAGAAGUACUACUUCUGUCUGUAACGGUUUGAUUCAUCCAUUAACCAGGAAAAACAAGCUGCCACUGCUUAUGAAAAAAAAUACUAAAAUACAUACUACAUUCCUCGAUGGAGGUUUUACAUUUUACAAGCCUUUUCUUUUCACAUCUAUUCACUUCUUUUUCCUGCUGUUCUACAUAGAAAUCCCAUGAAAACAUAAUCAUUUUGAUCGGUUUGAAUACUUUUGUACAGCAUUUUUAUCAUGACAUUGAGUAAGUCCGUGUUUGUUGAUUGUGUUUGAGGAUUUUAGACAGAAAUAAGCUUCAAACACUCACCAAAUGUCAAAGGUCAUUCUUGUGCAAAGGCUACUUGGUUAUAUGUUUAUUUCCUUGAACUGUCUGUGUUGGUGUUGCCAUUUCCUGUCCCCAACACCUGUGUGUAGUUUGUUAAUCACCACAAAUGCUUCGUAUCUAGUCACUUCAUCUCUAAAUACUGUAGGUCUAUUCUCUACUUGUAAGUCAUUGAAUGACCUAGCUAAAAGUGCUCAUUGGCAACAUGGGACAAGUGUUGACAUGUCCAGCAGCAAACGUCUUCAGACGCUUUUUCUUUUUCUUCUUCUGAAUAAGCGCGACCUACUGGAACAGAGUUUUGAUCGGGAUACAAAAAUAUAUGCCAAAUGCAUUUGAUAAAAAAAAAUAACACAAAACAAACAACACACACUGUUUUGUUCUGCUGGUGAUUGGCUCAUGUGCAACAGGGUAACAUAUUUCCUACUUCAAGUACACAAAUGAUUGUUUCCAUGGCAACCCAUCUAAGUCCAACUGGACGUGCUUCCGACCAGGCGUCAAGGUGUUGGGCCUGCUGUGAAAUUAUAAUACCGUGAUAAGCCUGAAGCAGGAGAGGCGGUGUCCAAUGACUACCAUGGAGACUGCAACCAUACUGGUAAAGCAGGGAUCCACAGCCCCAGUCCAGCAGAGCUACCAUUCUGCAACUUCUGGAUGAAUUCUUUCUCCAUCUAUGACGGCAUAUUUGGGCCAUUGUAGACAGAAAAAAAAGUACCUUUCCACCAAAAAGUAAGAAAUUCAGAGAUUAAUCUCAGAAAUUUUCCAGAAAAAAAAAAAAAAAUUCUGUUUCAAAAGUUGAA